rnacentral:rRNA from 1 species
CCUACGGGUGGCAGCAGUCGAGAAUCAUUCACAAUGGGGGAAACACUGAUGGUGCGACGCCGCGUGGGGGAAUGAAGUUCUUCGGAUCGUAAACCCCUGUUAUGUGGGAGCAAAUUAUAAAGAUCGUACCACAAUAGGAAGAGACGGCUAACUCUGUGCCAGCAGCCGCGGUAAUUCAGAGGUCUCAAGCGUUGUUCGGAAUCACUGGGCGUAAAGCGUGCGUAGGCUGUUUCGUACGUCGUGUGUGAAAGGUGCGGGCUCAACCCGCGGACGGCACAAGAUACUGCGAGACUAGAGUAAGGGAGAGGGAAGCGGAAGUCGCGGUGUAGCAGUGAAAUGCGUAGAUAUCGAGAGGAACACUCGUGGCGAAGGCGGGUUGCUGGACAUUAACUGACGCUGAGGCACGAAGGCCAGGGGAGCGAAAGGGAUUAGAUACCCCAGUAGUC